rnacentral:lncRNA from 1 species
AUUACACAAAGUAUACGAUGGAAUUUACAAACACAGCCUGUACGAUCCACUUAUACAUUCAAGUGUUUAAUGAAAUGAUCAAUACAAUGUACCUCUUGAUUUGAACUUCUAGGUUAUGAAUACUAUACUAACAAUAAUAACAUGCUUAAUAAUAAAAAAAAACUGCAUAAAACAUUACAAGAUGAACAUUUUUAGGCAGCAAUUCAAAAUGAAGAACAUGCAUCCUAUUUAACAAGCAAUGAGCUACAACUUCAUUUUUUCUGUACUUUCAAAGUUCAGGAUACACCUGAAACAGUAAAGAAAAAUAGAAAUAAAGCUUCAGCAGAAAAAGGAUGAUGAAACAGUAGCAAUCAACAACAGGUUUCAGCUUCUUUAAAUCCUUUUUAAACCCAGAAAAACGGAUUUUCCAUGAAAGCUCUUAAGUUCUUGCUACUAGAGAAACCAAGGAACAAUUUCGACCAAUUUCUAAUCAAAAUAAUGCAGAAACUUUUUUAGUAUUUUUUAUGGUCUGGAUCUCUAAUUUUUGAGUCAAACAAAGGUCUAUAUAUAGCCCUUUUGGGGUGCCACGUGCUGCUGAAAAACAGAAUGGGAAGUAUUCCCUCACAAGGCAUCUUUCCUAAUAGAAUUGGGACAGCUGGCAGCCUCUGAUUGGCUCCAGCAUUUGUGCUGGCCAAAAUUGGGCCAUCUACCCCAGAUUCUAGAAGUUUCCCUUCUAAAAAUCUGAUCUCCUAUUCCCAAAUUAACCUCCUAAGUUUCAUCUAUUCAAUUAAGACCCUAGGAGUGUUUAACAAUUACAAAUUACAGCAAACAACACAAAAAUCUGAAUUAAAAACAAAGAAGAUCAAAUGGGACAAAUCGUAAUUCAAUUAAGCUUUAACUGAACCUAAAUUCUUUUAUCAUUGAACUUGAGAUCAAAACAACACAAAACAGAAACAUCUGAACCUAACAUGAAUUCAGAAUUCCUAAUUAACGAGCCAUUUUCUAAGAAUUAAACCUAUUGUACCAACUAACAUCAUUGUAUCAGGGAAUCAAAUAAUAACAAAAAACUAAUAUGCUGAUUUUAAAUGAAAUCAGCUGGACACAAGAUAAACCAAUUUAGACAAACCCUAGCCAAAAAAACUGACCAACUAGUAAUUGAAAAAUAUGCACAAAUCAACCCUAAAACUACUGACUAGUCUUAAUAAUUAAACGCAGAAGUAAACAAACAAUUCUGAAUGAAAAAUAAGAAUCUAAAUCAUGCCACUACAAACAGAACAACCACACGAAGAAUCAAUCAAAGAAAAGAAAAUGGCCAAGAAAAAAAAAUAGAAACCAAGCAAGAAAUUACCUAUACUAAUGUAAGAAACAAGUUGGACUCGGAGAACCUAGCUGGAGCUCGGACUGGUUAGUGCAGGUUUGAAAAAAAAAGUCAAACCCACGUGAAUCAAUUGCUCCUGUUAAGAUCAAAUGACUCAUGUAGGUCUGAACCAUUUGAACUUCCAGAAUCACUCAGUAGAGGCUUUUAGGCUUUUUUUUCUUUUUCUUUCUUUUCAGAAUUUUGAUCUAAAAUUGCUCAAAUUUAAGAAGUCUUUUGGGCAAACCAAUGGGAUAUUAGAGGGUGAGGGGAGUGGGGAGAUGGCCUAGUGAGGUUUUGGGGUGAUUUGGGCGAACUAAGGCUUUG